GAUGAACGCUGGCGGCGUGCCUAAUACAUGCAAGUCGAGCGAACAGAUGAGGAGCUUGCUCCUCUGACGUUAGCGGCGGACGGGUGAGUAACACGUGGAUAACCUACCUAUAAGACUGGGAUAACUUCGGGAAACCGGAGCUAAUACCGGAUAAUAUAUUGAACCGCAUGGUUCAAUAGUGAAAGACGGUUUUGCUGUCACUUAUAGAUGGAUCCGCGCCGCAUUAGCUAGUUGGUAAGGUAACUGCUUACCAAGGCAACGAUGCGUAGCCGACCUGAGAGGGUGAUCGGCCACACUGGAACUGAGACACGGUCCAGACUCCUACGGGAGGCAGCAGUAGGGAAUCUUCCGCAAUGGGCGAAAGCCUGACGGAGCAACGCCGCGUGAGUGAUGAAGGUCUUCGGAUCGUAAAACUCUGUUAUUAGGGAAGAACAAAUGUGUAAGUAACUAUGCACGUCUUGACGGUACCUAAUCAGAAAGCCACGGCUAACUACGUG
rnacentral:rRNA from 1 species